rnacentral:rRNA from 1 species
AACGAACGCUGGCGGCAUGCCUAACACAUGCAAGUCGAACGAAGCCUUCGGGCUUAGUGGCGCACGGGUGCGUAACACGUGGGAAUCUGCCCUUCGGUUCGGAAUAACAGUUAGAAAUGACUGCUAAUACCGGAUGAUGACGUAAGUCCAAAGAUUUAUCGCCGAAGGAUGAGCCCGCGUAGGAUUAGGUAGUUGGUAGGGUAAUGGCCUACCAAGCCGACGAUCCUUAGCUGGUCUGAGAGGAUGAUCAGCCACACUGGGACUGAGACACGGCCCAGACUCCUACGGGAGGCAGCAGUGGGAAUAUUGGACAAUGGGCGAAAGACCUGAUCCAGCAAUGCCGCGUGAGUGAUGAAGGCCUUAGGGUUAUAAAGACUCUUUACCUAGGGACGAGUAAUAGACAGUAACCU